AUUGAACGCUGGCGGAAUGCUUUACACAUGCAAGUCGAGCGGCAGCGCGGGGCAACCUGGCGGCGAGCGGCGAACGGGUGAGUAAUACAUCGGAACGUACCCAGUUGUGGGGGAUAGCCCGGCGAAAGCCGGAUUAAUACCGCAUACGACCUGAGGGUGAAAGCGGGGGAUCGCAAGACCUCGCGCAAUUGGAGCGGCCGAUGGCGGAUUAGCUAGUUGGUAGGGUAAAGGCCUACCAAGGCGACGAUCCGUAGCGGGUCUGAGAGGACGGCCCGCCACACUGGAACUGAGACACGGUCCAGACUCCUACGGGAGGAAGCAGUGGGGAAUUUUGGACAAUGGGGGAAACCCUGAUCCAGCCAUUCCGCGUGAGUGAAGAAGGCCUUCGGGUUGUAAAGCUCUUUCGGCAGGAACGAAACGGUGGGUCCUAAUACGAUCUGCUAAUGACGGUACCUGAAGAAGAAGCACCGGCUAACUACGUGCCAGCAGCCGCCGUAAGAC
rnacentral:rRNA from 1 species